CGCGUAGGUGGCCGAUUAAGUCGGGGGUGAAAGCCUGUGGCUCAACCACAGAAUUGCCUUCGAUACUGGUUGGCUUGAGACCGGAAGAGGACAGCGGAACUGCGAGUGUAGAGGUGAAAUUCGUAGAUAUUCGCAAGAACACCAGUGGCGAAGGCGGCUGUCUGGUCCGGUUCUGACGCUGAGGCGCGAAAGCGUGGGGAGCAAACA
rnacentral:rRNA from 1 species